GUUAAAAUGCUCGUAGUUCAAUUUCUGUCGAGAGUGACCAGUCCACCCACGGGGUGAGUAUAUUGUUUGUUUUCGGCAUAAUUACGAAUAGUGCUGCAGUACUUGAUUGUGCCGUAUGUUCUAUUCUUACAUAAUACUUUGAGGAAAUUAGAGUGCUUCGAGCAUGCAUACGCACCGAACACAUUAGCAUGGAAUAAGAAUAUCGGAUCGCCGCUGUAUUCGACUGGUUUUUAUAGCUGCGGUAAUGACGAAUAG
rnacentral:rRNA from 1 species